GUUCGGGGGUAAACGGACAGAGCCCGUGAAUCCGGGCGCGCGGAAUUCAGGACCGACGGACGUGUGUGUGCGUGCGCGCGGCGCGCCUUCCUUCGCGGGAGGGUGUUCGAGCGCGCGCGCGCGCGCGUUCGUCGAUUCGAUAUUUCCGCCGCCGACCCGUCUAUCAACGGGUGCGGACGUCGCGACCCGUUCGCCGCCGGUCUCACGGGGCGCGCAUCAAGUUCGUCGCGCGUUGGUCGCCGCGUCUCCUUCGCGGGGGGCGCGAAUGGCGGCGCGCGACGAUGGCGCGCUUUUUCAGCGGGCCGGCGUUUUGCGGACGGUAGCCUCGAGCGUGCGGGUAAUCGACGCGGCCGAACGGCCGACGUUCUCUCGUCGUCGUCGUCGUCGUCGGCGUCCUUUCGCGAGGGCGUUGGCGGUGGCGGCGGGGGGGCGUUGGUCGGGCGCGCGCGUCGACGCCGGUCAGCGACGAAUCUUCGGGCCUCUUUCCGACCCGUCUUGAAACACGGACCAAGGAGUCUAACGUGCGCGCGAGUCGCGGGGUAUCCGAGUCGGUAACGCGAUUCGUCACGAUACGAAACCCGUGUGUACGUACGUUGUGCGAAGGCGUAAUGAAAGUGAAAGGCGCGCUCGCGCGCGCGCGCGCGCAUUUCGCGGCGUCUCCUCUUUCGGGGGGUGGCGUCGUGUUUGCGCGUGCGUGCGCGCGCACGCGCGUCGGGGAAGACGGCGUUUCCGAGUACACGUUUCUCGGUCGUACGGUACC
rnacentral:rRNA from 1 species